GGAAGGGCCAUAGCUCAGUGGAAAAAUAUUUGGAUUGAACACAAAAGUUCCUGGGUUCAAUCCCCGUCUUCUCCA